CCUACGGGGGGCAGCAGUGGGGAAUAUUGCACAAUGGGGGAAACCCUGAUGCAGCGACGCCGCGUGAGUGAAGAAGUAUUUCGGUACGUAAAGCUCUAUCAGCAGGGAAGAAAAUGACGGUACCUGACUAAGAAGCCCCGGCUAACUACGUGCCAGCAGCCGCGGUAAUACGUAGGGGGCAAGCGUUAUCCGGAUUUACUGGGUGUAAAGGGAGCGUAGACGGCAGCGCAAGUCUGGUGUGAAAUCCCAUGGCUUAACCAUGGAACUGCUUUGGAAACUGUGCAGCUAGAGUGCAGGAGAGGUAAGCGGAAUUCCUAGUGUAGCGGUGAAAUGCGUAGAUAUUAGGAGGAACACCAGUGGCGAAGGCGGCUUACUGGACUGUAACUGACGUUGAGGCUCGAAAGCGUGGGGAGCAAACAGGAUUAGAUACCCCUGUAGUC
rnacentral:rRNA from 1 species